AGUGGCGCACGGGUGCGUAACGCGUAUGCAACCUACCCCAUACUGGGGGAUAGCCCGGGGAAACCCGGAUUAAUACCCCAUGGCAUAUAGAGACUGCAUGGUUUUUAUAUUAAAGAUUUAUUGGUAUGGGAUGGGCAUGCGUAGGAUUAGCUAGUUGGCGGGGUAACGGCCCACCAAGGCGACGAUCCUUAGGGGUUCUGAGAGGAAGGUCCCCCACACUGGCACUGAGAUACGGGCCAGACUCCUACGGGAGGCAGCAGUAGGGAAUAUUGGGCAAUGGGCGGAAGCCUGACCCAGCCAUGCCGCGUGCAGGAAGAAUGCCCUCUGGGUUGUAAACUGCUUUUAUCAGGGAAGAAAAGGCCCAUGCGUGGGACAUUGCCGGUACCUGAUGAAUAAGCACCGGCUAACUCCGUGCCAGCAGCCGCGGUAAUACGGGAGGGUGCAAGCGUUGUCCGGAUUUAUUGGGGUUUAAGGGGUGCGUAGGCCUGGCGUUUUAAGUCAGCGGGGAAAAGUUUGGGCCUCAACCCUUAAAAACGCCGAUGAUACUG
rnacentral:rRNA from 1 species